AGUUCGAUUAUGGCUCAGAUUGAACGGCGGAUGCUUACAUGCAAGUCGAACGGCAGCACGGACUUCGGUCUGGUGGCGAGUGGCGAACGGGUGAGUAAUGUAUCGGAACGUGCCUAGUAGCAGGGGAUAACUACGCGAAAGCGUAGCUAAUACCGCAUACGCCCUUCGGGGAAAGCGGGGGACCUUCGGGCCUCGCACUAUUAGAAACGGCCGAUAUCGGAUUAGCUAGUUUGGGGUGGGGUAACGGCUCGCCAAGGCGACAAUCCAUGCUGGUUUGAAGACUGACCAACCACACUGGGACUGGAACUUGCAGAAAGCCAGACUCCUACGGGAAGCAGCGGUGGGGAGUACGGACAAUGGGGAAACCCUGAUCCAGCCAUCCCGCGUGUGCGAUGAAGGCCUUCGGGUGGUUACCAAAGCACUUUUGGCAGAAGAAACGGCACGGAUAUGCCGUGGCGACGACCUGCAGAACAAGCACCGGCUAACUACGUGCCAGCAGCCGCGGUAAUACGUAAGGGUGCAAGCGUUAAUCAGAAUUACUGGGCGUAAAGCGUGCGCAGGCGGUUCGGAAGAAAGUCUUGAAAUCCCAGAGCUUAACUUUGGAACUGCAUUUUAACUACCGAGCUAGAGUGUGUCAGAGGGAGGUGGAAUUCCGCGUGUAGCAGUGAAAUGCGUAGAUAUGCGGAGAGACACCGAUAGCGAAGGCGGCCUCCUGGAUAGCACUGACGCUCAUGCACGAAGAAAGCGUGGGGAGCAAACAGGGUCAGUACCUGGUAGUCCACGCCCUAAACGAUGUCAACUAGCUGUGGACGCUGGGCCACAUAGUGGCUGGCUAACACGUGAAGUUGACCGCCUGGGGGAGUACGGUCGCAAGAUUAAAACUCAAGGAAUUGACGGGGACCCGCACAAGCGGUGGAUGAUGUGGAUUAAUUCGAUGCAACGCGAAAAACACCUACCCUUGACAUGUCUGGAAUCCGAAGAUUUGGUACUCGCAAAGAGAACCGGAACACGGUGCUGCAUGGCUGUCGUCAGCUCGUGUCGUGAGAUGUUGGGUUAAGUCCACAGCGAGCGCAACCCUUGUCGUGUAGUUGCUACGAAAGGGCAUCUAAUGACUGCCGAUGACAAACCGGAGGAAGGUGGGGAUGACGUCAAGUCCUCAUGGCCCUUAUGGGUAGGGCUUCACACGUCAUACAAUGGUCGGGACAGAGGUCGCCAACCCGCGAGGGGAGCCAGUCCCAGAAACCCGAUCAUGAGUCCGGGAUCGCAGUCUGCAACUCGACUGCGUGAAGUCGGGAAAUCGCUAUUAAUCGCGGAUCAACAUAUCACGGUGAUCGUUCCCGGACAUGUACCGCCAUUGUCUUCAUAGGUGUUUACAGAAUGAUUCAACUAACGUAAUAAAUAGAGGCUGAUACACAGGUAAGGGUCUGACCUGGAUGAAGUCGUAACAGUGCAACCUGAAAUACCUGAUACUCA
rnacentral:rRNA from 1 species